rnacentral:rRNA from 1 species
UACAGAGGUCCCAAGCGUUGUUCGGAUUCACUGGGCGUAAAGGGUGCGUAGGUGGCUUGGGAAGCUUGAUGUGAAAUCUCCGGGCUUAACCCGGAAAUGGCAUUGAAUACUAUUGAGCUGGAGGUUUGGAGGGGGGACUGGAAUUCUCGGUGUAGCAGUGAAAUGCGUAGAUAUCGAGAGGAACACCAGUGGCGAAGGCGAGUCCCUGGACAACACCUGACACUGAGGCACGAAAGCUAGGGGAGCAAACAGG